rnacentral:lncRNA from 1 species
GCUGUGCGAUGAAACAUUUUCUUGUGUUGUUGAUCCCUUCAGGUGCUUUCAAAUGAGUAGGCCAGGGUCAGCCGAAUUUCCACUCCUCUUUCCUGCACCUUAAAAAGAAACUUCAAAUCCCAGUGCCGUUCUCUCAGUUGACUUUGUGUUAACGCUGUUUCUGCUGCUGCUGCGCCGUGGCUGCGGGGUGUGUCUCUCCUCUUUCUCUUCCGCUCGGUACGAAGUCUCCCCUGAGUUCCCUGCUUCAAUCUGAUUUUGUGUUUGUCAACGUGGAAUGUUGGAUUCUAUGCUGCUCUGAGAUUCGAAGUGGCUUUUCUAACGGCGAGCUUGAACAAAUGUGGCGACGUCGCGCGCGUAGGCGAUUCUGAACCGUGGCUUCGUACCCGACAGGGGGAUGUGUACUCUCCUCUGAAGCUUCUUCUGCUUCUGCUUCGCUUUCUUUCUCCCUUCUUCCACGCCUCCGUUUCUCCCUUUAAUAAUUUAUUCCCCUCUUUUUAUUAUCGGUAGUUACAAGAAUAUUAGGAAGCGAAACAAAUGCCUCUAUCUCAUUUGAUAUAUGUCUACAGCACAACAGGCUUUCAAAAGGAUGACUAUAUACAUGUAUACAAGAAAGAGUUAAUAUGAAGUUUCUAUUAAUUUUGAGAAGCUCACCAAAACAAUUAUCACAGAACAACAUAUUUUAAAUAUAAAAAAUAAAAUUGUACGCAUCAUAGGAUUGUUCCUGAAGUAACUAUUUCAGACAUGGAAUUUCAUUUUUUUAAAGAUAGUUGCAAAUUCAGUCUCCUUUAGAAAACACAGUAAGAAAUAUAAUACGCACAUAGUAUUAAACGAUCAGAUGCGUAUUAUAAAAAACCAAUUAUUCCUUGAUCACUUCCUUGACAUGUCAUUUGGACAUAGAUGACCGAUUUUGACAUUCUAUUAUCAGACGUAUAUCUUCACAGAUGUUUAAAAUUUGUUUUUUCUGUGACUAAAACGAUUCUAUAAGUUAUUUUUUAAUGAAUGUACUUAUUAUA